rnacentral:lncRNA from 1 species
CUCAUCUGUGGCUCUGAAAAUGAAGAUUUGGAAGGAGAUCAUCACAGCUAAUGUUAACAAGCCCCUCCUGUGUGCCAAAUCAUUCACCCCUCACCACAACCAAAUGAGCUAAGGAUUCUCGUUAUAUAUAGUUUAUGGAGAGGGAAGUGCAGACAUAAAGAGGUGAAUUAUCUUACCCAGAUCACACAGCUGAUAAGUGGUGGAGGCAGAAUAGAAUCUAAACAGUGUGGCUCCGGAGCCCACAUGCAUUGAUUCGACAAGUGUUUAUUGAGCACCUGCCGCGGACAAGGCCUUGUGUGAUUAAAUAGGGUUAUAAUUAGUAAUAUAAAAAUGAGAAAUCACUAAUGCUUUUUAGACUUAACAUUUUCUUUCUUUGUAGGUUUCAGGCACAGAACUGUAUAUCCAAUAAUAGUGAAAUGGAUCCCACUAAUUAUGACCGAAAUGAUGAUACAUUUAAAUGACUUGGAUGUUUUAUAGGUAUGAUCUCGUGAAACCUUGAGAGAAACUGAAUGACGAAUGAAACUAUUGUUCCUGUUUCACACAGAAGAAAACUGAGGUUAAAAGGGGUAAAGUAAUUUUGCAUGGCAUGAAGUAGAAAUUCAAAGUACAGGAAUUUGAACUUGGUUCUGUCCUUUUCUGAAGCCCUUGACCACUAUAGACUCAAACAUCACCUUGUUUUUCCACUCAUUCAACACUU